rnacentral:lncRNA from 1 species
AUGGGGUUUAUGGGGUGGAUAUGGGGUUUAUAUGGGUUUCUUAUGGUGGUUAUAAUGGGUUAUGGGGUUGUAUGGGGUAAUGGGUGGGAUAUGGGGUUAUAUGGGGUUCUCGUUGGGUUAUAUGGGGUCUUAUGGGGUUAUAUGGGGGUUAUGGGGUGGGAUAUGGGGUUAUAUGGGUUUAUGGGGUUUGGGUGUUAUGGGGUUCUAUGGGGUUUCUUGGGGUUCUAUGGGUUCUGGGGUUCUAUGGGGUUCUAUGGGGGUUAUAUGGGGUUAUAUGGGGUUUAUGGGGUGGGAUAUGGGUUAUAUGGGGUUAUGGGGCUCGGGAUAUGGGGUUAUAUGGGUUCCUAUGGGGUUAUGGGGUUAUAUAGGGGUUAUAUGGGGUUCUUGGUUCUAUGGGGUUCUAUGGGUUAUAUGGGGUUAUAUGGGGUUAUGGGUGGGAUAUGGGGUAUAUGGGGUUUGGGUGGGAUAAGUGGGGUUAUAUGGGGAGUGCUAUGGGGUUAUGGGUUAUGGGGUGGGAUAUGGGGUUAUGGGUUUUAUGGGUGGGAUAUGGGGUUUAUAUGGGGUGCUUAUGGGGUUCUUAUGGGGUUUUAUAUGGGGUCUACUGGGGUGGGAAUUUAUGGGUUUCUUAUGGGUUAUAUGGGGUGCUAUGGGGUGGGAUAUGGGGUUCUAUGGGGUUAUAUGGGGUGCUAUGGGGUUAUGGGGUUCUAUGGGGUGGGAUAUAGGGUUUUAUAUGCUUAUAUGGGGUUCUAUGGGUUCUAUGGGGCAUAUGGGGUUUAUAUGGGGUUUAUGGGGUGGAUAUGGGGUUCUAUGGGGUUCUUAAUGGGGUUCAUGGGGGGGAUAUGGGUUCUAUGGGGUUCUAUGGGGUUAUGGGGUGGGAUAUGGGGUUCUAUGGGGUUCUAUGGGGUUAUGGGGUUAUAUGGGGUGGGAUAUGGGGUAUAUGGGGUUAUAUGGGGUUGUUAUGGGGUUAUAUGGUGUUAUAUGGGGUUAUGGAGCUAUAUGGGGUUAUAUGGGGUUGUUAUGGGAUCUAUGGGGUUCUAUGGGGUUAUAUGGGGUUAUAUGGGGUUCUAUGGGGUUAUAUGGGGUUAUAUGGGGUUAUAUGGGGUUGUUAUGGGGUUAUGGGGUGGGAUAUGGGGUUAUGGGGUUAUAUGGGGUGGGAUAUGGGAUUUUAUAUGGUUCUAUGGGGUUCUAUGGGGUUCUAUGGGGUUCUAUGGGGUUAUAUGGGGUUAUAUGGGGUUAUGGGGUGGGAUAUAG